AUAAGUAUAUUUCACAUAUAUAAUUUUGGUACUCAAAUAUAGCUUCUAUCGUGACAUAUUCGUCCAUUCUUGCCAUGAUUGAUUGAAUAUUGCUUGAUAAUCAUCAAAAAGGAUCAUUUACUAGUCUUUGGUCUAUCUUGCAGAAAUGUGCGCAAAGGCACUAAUAAUCGUCAAGAUUCCGUCUAUGUGGCUAUCGAGAAGAGUGAAGAAGAGAAGAGAAGGAAGAAGAGACUUGUGUGAGAUGAAGAGAAGUAACCAGGGGGCUAGGUAAAGAAGUGGGAGGACCUCCUUGUGAAGAAAGAAGAGAAGAAAGAGGGCCAAAUCACAAAGUGCAGAUGAGAGGAGGGGAACAAAAUCCCUAGGGGCUGGAGGGAUCCGAUCGGGCCUGGCCAUAUCUCCAUCUCUCUUCUCCCCCACCACUUCUUCCACCUCAGGCCGCUGCCACGGCCAGGCCGGCGUGGUGGUGCGCCUCUGCAGCCCAGCCACCACCAUCUCCAUCCAUCUCCGCUGCGCCACCAUCCACAUCAGCGCCGCUGCGCCACCCAUCACCAGCACCAACACCCAGCGCCACCCAGCACCUCCACACGCUCCACACCGCCGCCAUCCAUCACCACCGCACCACUGAACACCUCCGCGCAAGAGUUUCCCUGCUGCCGUCCUUCUUCCCUUGCCUCUGCUGCUGCUCUUGCUUGCGCCCCUGUGCUGCUGCCUUUCUUCUCCCCUUGCUACUGCUCCCCUUUUCUAGCGCCUCAACCUGCUGCUCCUUCGCCUGCUGCUAGUCCCUUUCCCCACUCCUCUGCUGCUCCUCCUCUUAAAACUGCUGCUGCUCUUCUUUCCCACGUUCCUGCUCUGCACUCUGCUUCUCACCUCCGUUGCUGCUGUUUCUCUUCUGAACCUCUGCUACUGUUCAGCUCUGAACCUCUGCAUCUGUGUUGAAUGUGCUUUCAGUGUUCUUGAGAUGUGUAAACUGUUCAAUAUUCAGCUUACAAUUUGUAAAACUUUUGUGAUUCAGUGGUGUCUCUAUGUUAUACAUAUAGCUUGUGUACUGCUUGCUGCAGUAAAUUUCAGUUUGUAAGUUCCUGUGAUAGCUCCAGUACAUGUGACUUUUAUGUUGUCUCAAGUUCCUGUUAUAUAUAUACAUAUGUGUGUGUCUGUGAUGUGAUACAUUUAUGUUCUGUCCUACAACCUUAUUGUGUUAGCAUUUUAUUUCUCAUGUAAAACGAAAAUACCAAAAAUAUUAUUGAAGAUAAUCUGAACCUCCUUUGACCUUUUUGCAUUUUCUUUGGUGACGAUCUUUGGGUACAACCUUGUUUAGUGUAGGUUUUUUUUCUUGCAUUCAUAAUCUGAAUUGUGUUACCUAGCUUUAGCCAAGCACCGUCAUCGAUUUGCCUAGUCCCUGAUGAGAACACGACACUCGUAGUUUGGGGCGUAAAAACCCAGCUAUAUUACAAUUGAUCAUUUUGGCGCCGUUGCCGGGGACUAGCGUCGAGCGAUUGUGCGAAGCUAUAGACUAGGCUUAGUAUAGUUUUUGUUUAAAUUUCCAGUCAAAUUUAUUUCUGUGCUUCUUUUACCUUUUUACUUUUUGUUGCUUCGGCUUAUUAGGAUACUAACCCUCUCACCAAUGUUUCAUGUUUGUGAGCGUGUGUAGGAUAUCUUAUUAUUUGUAGGCUGAUUGACAGUUGCACCUGAACAUAUGGCUUUAGUACAUGAUCUUUGGUUGCCAAGUAGUUUGGACACGAUGACAGGGCCAAUUUGGCCAUCUAUUGAGGCCAAAAUUUUUGAGUUGAGGCCUGGACUUAUUGCUCUCGUCUUGCAGAAUCAGUUUAGAGGAUUACCCAAUGAAGACCCUCAUGAGCACAUUAGUAAUGUUCUGGAGUAUGCCAAUACAGUCCAGUAUCAUGGCGUUUCCCAAGAUACUAUCAAGUGUAUGUUGUUCACAUUCUCUCUCAGAGAUGCUGCUAAGGACUGGUACUAUUCUUUGCCAUCAAGAUCAUACACUUGGGGUGAUAUUUCACAAGCUUUCCUGCAUAGAUAUUUUCCACUUUACAAGCAAGCUGCAAUUCGUGACCAGAUCCUCAGUUUUGCGCAAGAUGGUAGUGAGAGCUUGUAUGCAGCUUGGGAGAGAUAUAAGUAUUUGCUUAGAAAAUGUCCUAAUCAUGGGCAAAAGGAUUGGUUAGUGCUUCAGAUAUUCUAUAGAGGGCUGACACAUGCUUCAAGAGAUCUUAUUGAUAUGUCAGCUGGUGGAACAAUCAUGAACAAGACCGUCGAGGGUGCAAUUAUUCUCAUUGAGAGCAUUGCCUUCCACCAAAUGCAAUGGGGUUAUGAAAGGCCUAGUUCAAAUCCGAAGGUUGCAAGCCUCGUGCAAUCAGAAGUUGUGUGUUCCAUAAGUGAACAGAAAUCAUCCAUGGUGCCUAAUAUUCAAAACCAGCAUGUUUCAUUCCGGGGACAACAACAUUUCAGAACUGAAUUAGAUCCUCCAUAUAGAACGAUUGAUCUUACUUCAAUUAUCCUUGAUGAUGAUUAUGAUAUUUUUCAAGAUGAUGAAACUACUGUAGAUCAGAUGGAAACCACAGUAGCAGAUCCAAUACCUCAUGGCAAUGAAACUGUCCAGAAUGAGUCAAAGCUGAAAGAAGAUGUUUAUGAGGAACCUACUCUGAUUGAUGCUAAGUUGAGACAACAAGAUAUGGAGAAAUUCACUUGUGUUAGUCAACUAUGUGACUGGUGGAAUUUAGUCGUGUCACCAAUUGCCCACACUUGUGUUACAACGGUAUCUGGGCUAUUUGUCAAGAAGAAAUCAUUAGCUCCACCGGUGGUUGCCUCUAUCACAGUUAAAGAGAGUAUCUCAGAGAAGAAUAGUGAAGAUGAGAUUCCAACUCCUGCACAUACAACUAAGCAAGUCGGAGCCAUUCCAAGGAGAGAGAUACAAGAGGUUGAGUCAAAUUUAGAAGAGUUGAUACUUCAAUAUCCUGAGAAGAUCCCACGUGUUGCUGAGCUGCAUGACUGGUGGAAGUCAUCAGUGUCACUGUUGAGACUUAGUAGUGAUGGUGAUGAGGAGAACAUUGCUCAGAAAGACAGCGAGGUAGUGAUCUCAACACCCCUACCAGAUCAUGUUAGUGAAUAUUCACAUAUGGGGACACUUCAGACUCAAUUAAGUGUUGCUGGUAGUAGCACCAUAGAAGAUCCAGAGGAAGAGAGUCCUCAACUUGAAGAAGAUUUACAAGAAGACAAGGAACAAGAUGAUCAAGAGCUGCAAUUUCCAAGUGAUCAAGUUGAAGACUCAUCAUCUACUACUCCUGAAGAAGUACAAGAAGCUGUUGUAGAUGAAGAUGAAGAACCUGAGAUUCAUUGGCCUAUUGUCAUACAUGAGCGCGAUGUGUCAGGUUUACCCAAUCCUCUUGAUGACAUGCUCCCUUGUGAUUUCUUUGCUUCUAACUUGCAUUGCAUGAUGCCAUCACUUAAGGUAGAUUUGAAAAACUAUUUGCUUGGACAUGAUCAUACACACCCUGUUAGUGGCAUUACUCUCAUUUGUGAUGAUCACAGUUACUUUCCUCGUGCUAGUUCUAUGCUUAAUGAAACAUAUCAUUCCCAUGUUAGUCUUGAGCUUAAUGAUAAAUAUCAUCCUCAUGUUAGCAUUGAGCUUACUGAUUUGUACCAUCCUAAACAUGUGCUUUAUAGCUAUGCUUAUGUAAUUGGGUACUCUAUAGAUGAUUUAGAGGGCAUUACCCUUGUCACUUGUAUUGUUUCCUUGGUUGAGUGCUCUUUCAGGUUGUUGCUUGUGCACGAUCCACUACAUGCUGACCAAGUCCGAGAUGACAUUCCCUGGGACCCCGGUGGACCCAUGGCAUGGGGAUGAGGAGAAGCAAGGAGCACACAUGAAGAGAGAAGCUGGAGCAGGCAUGAGGAUAGAGAAGCAAAAAGAGAAGAGCUGCAGCUUAGAGAGUCAUCAAGCGAGUGCUACUUCAUAGUGCCCGGUUAGCUGUUUCAUGACCCAUUCUGAGUAUAUCAUCCAUUGAUGCUUGCUGAAUUAAAUUGCUAUUUGGGUUGCUUGUGCCAUUUCUUAAAUGUUGUCCCACUGAAUUUCACCUUUGACAUGUGGUGCUUGAUGAGAAUAUGCGAACUAAUUGUUGAAUGCCUUGUAACUAGUGAUCUACACCCUGUUUGCUCUGCUAAAAGUAGUGAAAGCUAUUAGUUCUGAGUGCUCAAAUCCCUAGUACACUAGAAAACUAAAUCAUUUUCUGCAUUUACUAUGAUACACCUAGAUCACCAUGUUUAGAUGCUGAAUUUGUGCCAAGUGUGUUCCCAUUGAGAGCAAUCACCUAACUACUAUGGAAUAUCAUGCUAUGUUCCCUGGAUCGGUAGCAUGUGAACCAGACAUGGAGAAGUGAUGAUUCCUAUUUUUGUGCUUAUGCAUUGUUCAUUUAAGAUAAGUAAUAAUGAAUAAAUUAGUCUGACUACCUACAGUAGCAUGUCAUGUUCUUGGGAUCGGUGGCAUGUGAAAUCGGGUUAGCUUGGGCAGUAAUUAUUAUAAAAAUGUAAUUGUCGAACCAGGUGUAUACCAUGUUCUCGGGAUCGGUGGUAUGUUCCUUUGGGGAGACAAACAAGAAAACUAUAUAAUUGGUCAAGCCGGGUGUAUACCAUGUUCUCGGGAUCGGUGGUAUGUUCCUUUGGUGAGAUCAAUAAAAUAUUAUCAUUACUUCCUUCAAAUUCAAUAAGUGGUUCAACCACAAAGUUAUAUUUCUGCAAAUAAGAGAUUUAAUUCCAGUUCUUUUUGUUCUCGGGAUCAUGCUCUCUUUAGGAAUCAUUUGGCGCAAUCAUCAUUUAAACUUGUUGGUCCUCUUUUAUCAUUGUAAAAGUUUAAAAUGGUCAUGCUUACCAGUAUCCUACUGCUUUGUAGCACUCUUAACCAUCAAUUUUCACUAGCUAAGUCCAAAAGCAUGCAUUGUUUAGAGAUCUACUUCACUUGGACAUUCUUUACUCAGUUCACUGUUCACAUUCUUGCUCUUGUCAUAUGCCUUUGCUUGAGGACAAGCAAAGAUUUAAGUGUGGGGGAACUUGAUAAGUAUAUUUCACAUAUAUAAUUUUGGUACUCAAAUAUAGCUUCUAUCGUGACAUAUUCGUCCAUUCUUGCCAUGAUUGNNNNNNNNNNNNNNNNNNNNNNNNNNNNNNNNNNCAUUACUUCCUUCAAAUUCAAUAAGUGGUUCAACAACAAAGUUAUAUUUCUGCAAAUAAGAGAUUUAAUUCCAGUUCUUUUUGUUCUCGGGAUCAUGCUCUCUUUAGGAAUCAUUUGGCGCAAUCAUCAUUUAAACUUGUUGGUCCUCUUUUAUCAUUGUAAAAGUUUAAAAUGGUCAUGCUUACCAGUAUCCUACUGCUUUGUAGCACUCUUAACCAUCAAUUUUCACUAGCUAAGUCCAAAAGCAUGCAUUGUUUAGAGAUCUACUUCACUUGGACAUUCUUUACUCAGUUCACUGUUCACAUUCUUGCUCUUGUCAUAUGCCUUUGCUUGAGGACAAGCAAAGAUUUAAGUGUGGGGGAACUUGAUAAGUAUAUUUCACAUAUAUAAUUUUGGUACUCAAAUAUAGCUUCUAUCGUGACAUAUUCGUCCAUUCUUGCCAUGAUUGAUUGAAUAUUGCUUGAUAAUCAUCAAAAAGGAUCAUUUACUAGUCUUUGGUCUAUCUUGCAGAAAUGUGCACAAAGGCACUAAUAAUCGUCAAGAUUCCGUCUAUGUGGCUAUCGAGAAGAGUGAAGAAGAGAAGAGAAGGAAGAAGAGACUUGUGUGAGAUGAAGAGAAGUAACCAGGGGGCUAGGUAAAGAAGUGGGAGGACCUUCUUGUGAAGAAAGAAGAGAAGAAAGAGGGCCAAAUCACAAAGUGCAGAUGAGAGGAGGGGAACAAAAUCCCUAGGCACUGGAGGGAUCCGAUCGGGCCUGGCCAUAUCUCCAUCUCUCUUCUCCCCCACCAGUUCUUCCACCUUAGGCCGCUGUCUCGGCCAGGCCGGCGUGGUGGUGCGCCUCUGCAGCCCAGCCACCACCAUCUCCAUCCAUCUCCGCUGCGCCACCAUCCACAUCAGCGCCCUGCGCCAUCCAUCACCAGCACCAACACCCAGCGCCACCCAGCACCUCCACACGCUCCACACCGCCGCCAUCCAUCACCACCGCACCACUGAACACCUCAGCGCGAGAGUUUCCCUGUUGCCGUCCUUCUUCCCUUGCCUCUGCUGCUGCUCUUGCUUGCGCCCCUGUGCUGCUGCCUUUCUUCUCCCCUUGCUACUGCUCCCCUUUUCUAGCGCCUCAACCUGCUGCUCCUUCUCCUCCGCCUGCUGCUAGUCCCUUUCCCACGCCUCUGCUGCUCCUCCUCUUAAAACUGCUGCUGCUCUUCUUUCCCACGUUCCUGCUAUGAACUCUGCUUCUCACCUCCGUUGCUGCUGUUUCUCUUCUGAACCUCUGCUACUGUUCAGCUCUGAACCUCUGCAUCUGUGUUGAAUGUUCUUUCAGUGUUCUUGAGAUGUGUAAAACUGUUCAAUAUUCAGCUUACAAUUUGUGAAACUUUUGUGAUUCAGUGGUGUCUCUAUGUUAUACAUAUAGCUUGUGUACUGCUUGCUGCAGUAAAUUUCAGUUUGUAAGUUCCUGUGAUAGCUCCAGUACAUGUGACUUUUAUGUUGUCUCAAGUUCCUGUUAUAUAUAUACAUAUGUGUGUGUCUGUGAUGUGAUACAUUUAUGUUCUAUCCUACAACCUUAUUGUGUUAGCAUUUUAUUUCUCAUGUAAAACGAAAAUACCAAAAAUAUUAUUGAAGAUAAUCUGAACCUCCUUUGCCCUUUUUGCAUUUUCU
rnacentral:lncRNA from 1 species